rnacentral:rRNA from 1 species
UACAGAGGUCCCAAGCGUUGUUCGGAUUCACUGGGCGUAAAGGGUGCGCAGGUGGUCGGGUAAGUCUGAUGUGAAAUCCCGCAGCUUAACUGCGGAAUGGCAUUGGAUACUAUUUGGCUAGAGGGUUGGAGGGGGGACUGGAAUUCUCGGUGUAGCAGUGAAAUGCGUGGAUAUCGAGAAGAACACUUAGGGCGAAGGCAAGACUCUGGACAAAUGCUGACGCUCAUGCACGAAGGCUAGGGUAGCGAACGGG